rnacentral:rRNA from 1 species
GUGAGGAAUAUUGGUCAAUGGGCGGGAGCCUGAACCAGCCAAGUCGCGUGAAGGAAGAAGGAUCUAUGGUUCGUAAACUUCUUUUGCAGGGGAAUAAAGUGCAGGACGUGUCCUGUUUUGUAUGUACCCUGAGAAUAAGGAUCGGCUAACUCCGUGCCAGCAGCCGCGGUAAUACGGGGGAUCCGAGCGUUAUCCGGAUUUAUUGGGUUUAAAGGGUGCGUAGGUGGUUUGAUAAGUCAGCGGUGAAAGUUUGCAGCUUAACUGUAAAAAUGCCGUUGAAACUGUCGGACUUGAGUGUAAAUGAGGUAGGCGGAAUGCGUGGUGUAGCGGUGAAAUGCAUAGAUAUCACGCAGAACUCCGAUUGCGAAGGCAGCUUACUAAGCUACAACUGACACUGAAGCACGAAAGCGUGGGGAUCAAACAGGAUUAGAAACCCCGGUAGUCC